AGUGAACGCUGGCGGUAGGCCUAACACAUGCAAGUCGAACGGCAGCACAGUAAGAGCUUGCUCUUACGGGUGGCGAGUGGCGGACGGGUGAGGAAUACAUCGGAAUCUACUUUUUCGUGGGGGAUAACGUAGGAAAACUUACGCUAAUACCGCAUACGACCUACGGGUGAAAGCAGGGGAUCUUCGGACCUUGCGCGAUUGAAUGAGCCGAUGUCGGAUUAGCUAGUUGGCGGGGUAAAGGCCCACCAAGGCGACGAUCCGUAGCUGGUCUGAGAGGAUGAUCAGCCACACUGGAACUGAGACACGGUCCAGACUCCUACGGGAGGCAGCAGUGGGGAAUAUUGGACAAAGGGCGCAAGCCUGAUCCAGCCAUACCGCGUGGGUGAAGAAGGCCUUCGGGUUGUAAAGCCCUUUUGUCGGGAAAGAAAAGCAGCAGGUUAAUACCCCGCUGUUCUGACGGUACCCAAAGAAUAAGCACCGGCUAACUUCGUG
rnacentral:rRNA from 1 species